CACACUCUGAUAUCAGGUUUUAUCCUAACGAAUCAAAUACACUCUGAUAUCAGGUUUUAUCCUAACUAAUCAAAUACACUCUGAUAUCAGGUUUUAUCCCAACUCAUCAAAUCCAUACUUCACAUACCCCAACAUAUUCAUGAACCUAACAUCAUCCCAAGCGAGGAAAUAUUUUUGUGUUAAAGACUAUUUUUCUCUGAAAAGAUAACCCAUUUAAAUAUGCAUUCUCCUUGUGGAAUCUCCCAUGUCAAGGAAGAUGUUCUAUCUCUAAGCAGAUCUGUGAUCUGUGAACUCUCUCAACUGUUAAGUGUUCUCUCUCUAAUACAAAUGAUACGUCAUGAUAUGUCAUUAUACAAUCUAUAAAAUGUGAAUGUUAUAUACCCCAUAUUCUUUCUGACCACAGUAGGUAUAUUGUGUGUGUGUCUGGAGUGAAUGUUAUAGUGAAAAUGAUUCAACCCUCUUAAGCUUUAAAACAUUCUGGUAUUGUGAGUGCAAUUAAGUUAUUUUUUUAUAAACUUUUGAAGAAAAUGUACUAAUCCAUACAGAUAGUUCAAAUGAUGUGCGAAAUAUUAUUCAACUAUCAAAGUUGUAGACAAGUCUUUAGACUUUACCUCCAAUAAACAUCUCCAGUAAGUACACACAUGUUUCCCAGACCCCCUUAUUGGAACCUAGUCUCAUUUGAAAAAGAGAUUCUUCUAUUCUUUGGUUUCCAUGCUGCCAUUGCACCCUUUAAACCCUUCGAUUCUCUAUGAGAUGCUGAGAUCUUUGGGGCUGCCCAAAGUGGACACUGUAUGUGAUUGGAACAUGAGCCCUGUGUGUUGCUCUGCCUAAACCAAUAUCUAGCUUCACAUCACAUCAGUGUGGAACAAAGGAACAAAGACAAGAUGAUGACACUGUGUUUUCCUGGUCAAACUUGUUUUCCGUGAUGUUAUUGUUAGCUUUUUUUUUAUCUGUAGUACCUUGCCACAAACUUUUUUGUAUCCUUUGUCAUGCCAUGAGGGGUGGGGAUGUGGGGGGUAUCAUUAAAUAGUUUUUUAUGUUUUUGUGUGUCAACAUCAUGACUUACAUAUAUACGUAUGUAAUAGUGGGAUAAUGUCUUCAUCGACAACUACAUCUAUAUUUUUCCUUCAUACAUGCACAUUUCAAAGCAAAUGCUGUACUGCACCACUUUUUUUUUGUUGGUAACAAGGCUG
ensembl:lncRNA